rnacentral:rRNA from 1 species
CCUACGGGAGGCUGCAGUGGGGAAUAUUGCACAAUGGGGGAAACCCUGAUGCAGCGACGCCGCGUGAGUGAAGACGUAAUUCGUUAUGUAACGCUCUAUCAGCAGGGAAGAAAAUGACGGUACCUGAGUAAGAAGCCCCGGCUAACUACGUGCCAGCAGCCGCGGUAAUACGUAGGGGGCAAGCGUUAUCCGGAUUUACUGGGUGUAACGGGAGCGUAGACGGCAGUGCAAGUCUGGAGUGAAAGGCGUGGGCUCAACCCCCGGACUGCUCUGGAAACUGUACGGCUGGAGUGCAGGAGAGGUAAGUGGAAUUCCUAGUGUAGCGGUGAAAUGCGUAGAUAUUAGGAGGAACACCAGUGGCGAAGGCGGCUUACUGGACUGUAACUGACGUUGAGGCUCGAAAGCGUGGGGAGCAAACAGGAUUAGAUACCCUGGUAGUC